UACGGGAGGCAGCAGUGGGGAAUAUUGCACAAUGGGCGAAAGCCUGAUGCAGCUAUGCCGCGUGUAUGAAGAAGGCCUUAGGGUUGUAAAGUACUUUCAUCGGGGAGGAAAAAACAAAACUAAUAAUUUUAUUUCUUGACGUUACCCGAAAAAGAAGCACCGGCUAACUCCGUGCCAGCAGCCGCGGUAAUACGGAGGGUGCUAGCGUUAAUCAGAAUUACUGGGCGUAAAGAGCACGUAGGUGGUUUUUUUAAGUCAGAUGUGAAAUCCCUGGGCUUAACCUGGAACUGCAUUUUGAAACUGAAAUACUAGAGUAUCGUAGAGGGAGGUAGAAUUCUAGGUGUAGCGGUGAAAUGCGUAGAUAUCUGGAGGAAUACCUGUGGCGAAAGCGGCCUCCUAAACGAAUACUGACACUGAGGUGCGAAAGCGUUGGGGAGCAAACAGGGAUUAGAUACCCGU
rnacentral:rRNA from 1 species